rnacentral:rRNA from 1 species
GACGAACGCUGGCGACGUGCUUAACACAUGCAAGUCGAGCGGAAAGGCCCUUCGGGGUACUCGAGCGGCGAACGGGUGAGUAACACGUGAGUAACCUGCCCCAGACUUUGGGAUAACCCUCGGAAACGGGGGCUAAUACCGGAUACGACACAGCUUCGCAUGGGGUCUGUGUGGAAAGUUUUUCGGUUUGGGAUGGGCUCGCGGCCUAUCAGCUUGUUGGUGGGGUGAUGGCCUACCAAGGCGACGACGAGUAGCCGGCCUGAGAGGGCGACCGGCCACACUGGGACUGAGACACGGCCCAGACUCCUACGGGAGGCAGCAGUGGGGAAUAUUGCACAAUGGGCGGAAGCCUGAUGCAGCGACGCCGCGUGAGGGAUGACGGCCUUCGGGUUGUAAACCUCUUUCAGCAGGGACGAAGCGUAAGUGACGGUACCUGCAGAAGAAGCGCCGGCCAACUACGU